AGGACGAACGCUGGCGGCGUGCUUAACACAUGCAAGUCGAGCGGAAAGGCCCUUCGGGGUACUCGAGCGGCGAACGGGUGAGUAACACAUGAGCAACCUGCCCUUAGCUUCGGGAUAGCUCCGGGAAACCGGAAUUAAUACCGAAUAUGAUUUUUGCUGACAUCAGCAGAAGUGGAAAGUUUUUCGGCUAGGGAUGGACUCGCGGCCUAUCAGCUAGUUGGUGAGGUAACGGCCCACCAAGGCGACGACGGGUA
rnacentral:rRNA from 1 species